rnacentral:ncRNA from 1 species
GAAAACACUGGGAAAAAGAAAGUACAUCAGCAGAAUCUUUACAGAGAAAUUUCCGGUAAGGCUGAGAGGAAAUGAGGGAAAGCGGAUGGAAGAUGGCUUUGGAGUGGCAGAGACGAACUGGAGAUAAAUGCAUGAGCAAUCAAAGGCCAGGCUCUGACGGGACCGCCUGUUAUUGCGGACAAUGAGGCUGAUAUCGUUGGGUAUCAGUGAAUAGAAGUGGUAUCACGGGAUUAUAGCUCGUCUUCUGG